rnacentral:lncRNA from 1 species
UGGAUGGGUGGAUGGCGCUUGCGUUUAUCAGACAAUAUGGCCACUUCCACGGAAUGAAAGCUGGUGAUAAUUCGCAAAUCUGAACGACGAUAUUCUAGUUGGUUAUGAAGAAUGUUAAACGUUCUUUUAGCGAUAGUGUCGUUUGUUUUCGCCUUGCUGCUCGUUCUUUUGCUGGUGGGCAUCGGAUGGUACAUUGUGUGGAAGCUGUUUCUAUCACGGUUUCGAUUUGUGCGAGAACUCCUGGUUGCGAACAACGGUGCUUCGGAAGUUCAAGGAACGCCACGAACCCGGAACCGCAAGCCCAGAAUUGACUGAAGUAUGAACUGGCGGGUUGCUGUUACUUCGCCAACACACAUACCCAACAAUCUGUAUUUUUUUUUUUCAUCAAGAAACGGCUUAGAGCAUGUCCAUAAAUGUGAUAUAAUGCUGUGCCGACUGGGGAGGGUGCACGGCAAUGCUGUUGAUGCAUUCGUGAUGUGCAUCGUGUGAAAUCACCCUUGAUGUCCUGAACAUCAUGUGUGAUGUGUCGUGUAUAUCCUCAGCAGAGACGAAGCCUUGUUGUCUUAAUUAUGACUUGUGUGUUUGGGACGCAGCAGCUGUGCAUUGCAGACAUAUGCUGUGGUACACAUAUGCUCAAAUUGUGUGUGGCUAUUAUGUGUGGCUUUUAUUCAGCUUCGUUUGUUGAGUGAUUGCAUGUGAUCGCCUGGUAUGCAGCCUUACUGCUGGGAUGUGUAUAUAUAUUUAUAUAAAAAUUAUGAACUAUAGAAGCAGUGCAGCUAAAAGAAAAAUAGAUUUGUCAUUGAAGUUUGCUGAUUAAAACUGUCCAUAUUUCUGACAGCUUCCUGCACUUGCUUCUUAUUCAUAAAUGAAGCUAGUUGCUUUGAGCGGGGCUUGUAUGCUUACGAGUUUGAUGUGAAUAAAUGUUUUACGAGACA